rnacentral:rRNA from 1 species
CCUACGGGAGGCAGCAGUGAGGAAUAUUGGUCAAUGGGCGCGAGCCUGAACCAGCCAAGUAGCGUGAAGGAUGACUGCCCUACGGGUUGUAAACUUCUUUUAUAAAGGAAUAAAGUGAGGUACGUGUGCCUUUUUGUAUGUAUUUUAUGAAUAAGGAUCGGCUAACUCCGUGCCAGCAGCCGCGGUAAUACGGAGGAUCCGAGCGUUAUCCGGAUUUAUUGGGUUUAAAGGGAGCGUAGGUGGGUGGUUAAGUGAGUGGUGAAAGUUUGAGGCUCAACCGUGAAAUUGCAUUUGAUACUGGCAGUCUUGAGAGCAGUUGAGGUAGGCGGAAUGCGUGGUGUAGCGGUGAAAUGCUUAGAGAUCACGAAGAACACCGAUUGCGAAGGCAGCUUACUAAGCUGCCACUGACGUUGAGGCACGAAAGUGUGGGUAGCAAACAGGAUUAGAUACCCGAGUAGUC